AUUGGGUUUUUUUUUUUUCUUCAUAGGGUUUUGGGAAGACUGAGGCAAUCGUUGCUGAAGUCAGUGUUGUAAUGGUGAAUCGGGAUUUUUAAUGAAGUGGGUGUGAUUACUCUUGACUAUUUUGUGAAAUCGAAGUUACGUCUAUGAUUGAAGAAUUAAAAGGGUAUCUAUAGGAUUGAGUAUGCAGAGUGAAUGAAAUUUAUUGGGUUAAUCUAACGAGACAGUCAGUGGAUACAAGAUCGUGAGUAUAAAGCGGUAUUGAAGAUUAGCAGUUUGGGUUGUUCG
rnacentral:lncRNA from 1 species